UACGUAUGGAGCAAGCGUUAUCCGGAUUUACUGGGUGUAAAGGGUGCGUAGGCGGCGUGCCAAGUCAGAUGUGAAAUACAGGGGCUCAACCCCUGCGCCGCGGCAGGUACGGGCGCGCUGGAGUGCGGGAAGGGCAGACGGAAUUCCAGGUGUAGCGGUGGAAUGCGUGGAUAUCUGGAAGAACACCGAUGGCGAAGGCGGUCUGCUGGCCCGCGACUGACCCUCAUGGACGAGAGUGUGGGUAGCGAAC
rnacentral:rRNA from 1 species